rnacentral:rRNA from 1 species
UACGAAGGGGGCUAGCGUUGCUCGGAUUGACUGGGCGUAAAGGCGCGUAGGCGGAUAGUACAGUCAGGCGUGAAAUUCCUGGGCUCAACCUGGGGGCUGCGUUUGAUACGUAUUGUCUGGAGUUCGGAAGAGGGUCGUGGAAUUCCCAGUGUAGAGGUGAAAUUCGUAGAUAUCGGGAGGAACACCGGUGGCGAAGGCGGCGACCUGGGUAGAUACUGACGCUGAGGUGCGAAAGCGUGGGGAG